GACGAACGCGGGCGGCGUGCCUAAUACAUGCAAGUCGAACGCACGAAGUUGAAAGAGCUUGCUCCUUAACCAAGUGAGUGGCGGACGGGUGAGUAACACGUGGGUAACCUACCCAUUAGAGGGGGAUAACAUUCGGAAACGGAUGCUAAUACCGCAUAGUUUCAGGAAUCGCAUGAUUCGUGAAGGAAAGGUGGCUUCGGCUACCACUAAUGGAUGGACCCGCGGCGUAUUAGCUAGUUGGUGAGGUAAUGGCUCACCAAGGCAAUGAUACGUAGCCGACCUGAGAGGGUGAUCGGCCACACUGGGACUGAGACACGGCCCAGACUCCUACGGGAGGCAGCAGUAGGGAAUCUUCCGCAAUGGACAAAAGUCUGACGGAGCAACGCCGCGUGAGUGAAGAAGGUUUUCGGAUCGUAAAACUCUGUUGUUAAAGAAGAACAAGGAUGAGAGUAACUGCUCAUCCCCUGACGGUAUUUAACCAGAAAGCCACGGCUAACUACGUGCCAGCAGCCGCGGUAAUACGUAGGUGGCAAGCGUUGUCCGGAUUUAUUGGGCGUAAAGCGAGCGCAGGCGGUUCUUUAAGUCUGAUGUGAAAGCCCCCGGCUCAACCGGGGAGGGUCAUUGGAAACUGGAGAACUUGAGUGCAGAAGAGGAGAGUGGAAUUCCACGUGUAGCGGUGAAAUGCGUAGAUAUGUGGAGGAACACCAGUGGCGAAGGCGACUCUCUGGUCUGUAACUGACGCUGAGGCUCGAAAGCAUGGGUAGCGAACAGG
rnacentral:rRNA from 1 species